rnacentral:rRNA from 1 species
AACGUAGGUGGCGGGCGUUAUCCGGAUUCAUUGGGCGUAAAGAGCUUGUAGGCGGCCGCAUAAGUUGGACGUGAAAACUCCGGGCUUAACUUGGAGAGGCCGUUCAAUACUGUGAGGCUGGAGGGUGUCAGAGGGAAGUAGAAUUCCUGGUGUAGCAGUGAAAUGCGUAGAUAUCAGGAGGAAUACCCGUGGCGAAGGCGGCUUCCUGGGGCACCACUGACGCUGAGAAGCGAAAGCUAGGGGAGCAAACGGG